CCUACGGGAGGCUGCAGUGGGGAAUAUUGGACAAUGGGGGGAACCCUGAUCCAGCCAUGCCGCGUGUGUGAAGAAGGCCCUCGGGUUGUAAAGCACUUUCAGUGAGGAAGAACGCCUGGUGGUUAAUACCCAUCAGGAAAGACAUCACUCACAGAAGAAGCACCGGCUAACUCCGUGCCAGCAGCCGCGGUAAUACGGAGGGUGCGAGCGUUAAUCGGAAUUACUGGGCGUAAAGCGCGCGUAGGUGGCUUGAUAAGCCGGUUGUGAAAGCCCCGGGCUCAACCUGGGAACGGCAUCCGGAACUGCCAAGCUAGAGUGCAGGAGAGGAAGGUAGAAUUCCCGGUGUAGCGGUGAAAUGCGUAGAGAUCGGGAGGAAUACCAGUGGCGAAGGCGGCCUUCUGGACUGACACUGACACUGAGGUGCGAAAGCGUGGGUAGCAAACAGGAUUAGAUACCCCUGUAGUC
rnacentral:rRNA from 1 species